AGGCAGUGUAGUUAGCUGAUUG
rnacentral:ncRNA from 11 species